CUGGCGGCGUGCUUCAUACAUGCAAGUCGAACGAUAAGGUCUCUUCGGAGAUACAUAAGUGGCGGACGGGUGAGUAAUGUGUAGAGAAUCUGCCCUAGAGCGGGGGACAACAGAGGGAAACUUCUGCUAAUACCCCAUAUGCGCGUACUUGAGAUAGUAUUCGUGAAAACUCCGGUGCUCUAGGAUGAGUCUGCAUCUGAUUAGCUAGUAGGCGGUGUAAUGGACCACCUAGGCGACGAUCAGUAGCUGGUUUGAGAGGAUGAUCAGCCACAAUGGGACUGAGACACGGCCCAUACUCCUACGGGAGGCAGCAGUAGGGAAUUUUGCGCAAUGGGGGAAACCCUGACGCAGCAACGCCGCGUGAAUGAAGAAGCCCUUCGGGGUGUAAAGUUCUGUCAGUGGGGACGAAACUUGACGGUACCCACAGAGGAAGCAUCGGCUAACUCCGUGCCAGCCGCGGC
rnacentral:rRNA from 1 species